rnacentral:tRNA from 1 species
GUUUUAAUAAUUUAAAUAAAAUAUUGGUCUUGUAAACCAAAAAUAAGUUCACCUUUUAAAACU